UUGGAUCUCAAAUCAGACAAGAUGACCCGCUGAAUUUAAGCAUAUAACUAAGCGGAGGAAAAGAAACUAACAAGGAUUCCCCUAGUAGCGGCGAGCGAAGCGGGAACAGCCCAAGAUGAAAAUCCCUUCGGGGAGUUGUAGUCUGAGUGUCCUUGGGUGGGUCAGUGCGGGCAAGUCUUCUGGAAUGAAGCGCCAUGGAGGGUGAGAGCCCCGUCCAUCCCGCACAGGAUCCAUUCGUACAAGGACGCUUCAACCGAGUCGGGUAGCUUGGGAAUGCUGCUCUAAUUGGUGGUAAAUCUCAUCAAAGGCUAAAUAGUGGUGGGAGACCGAUAGCGAACAAGUACCGUGAGGGAAAGAUGGAAAGAACUUUGAAAAGAGAGUGAAAAGCACUUGAAACCGUCACGGGGGAAGCGGAUUGCGUGAGUGAUGGUGUCGCUUGUUCAGCGCUUUAUUGCGUGCAUUCUGGCGGCGCCGUGCCGGCGUGGCUGGCUGGACUGUGAUUUUGACAGUCUCGGCUGGUGAGGGCUCCCUCGUAUGAGGUGAGGACGCGGGCAAAAUGACGC
rnacentral:rRNA from 1 species